AAUGUCAGAGUCAGAAAUGAUUCGAGGUUUUUUUCUGGGAAAAAAAAAACUGUUCUGAGAAUUUUCUCUGCCCUACUGACUCUGAGGAGCCCUGGGGCUCCUGCUGUGAUCUGACCAUCCUGUCUGCUUGUUGUUCUGCCCAGCAAUCUAUAGAUUCUGCUCUGCUGCUUUCACGCAUGGCUGGAAAACCGUUUACCCUGUAAAACUCCCACAUUCCAGCUGGAGAAAGUCACAGCUAUUCUCAUUUCCAGAGACAUGCUUCCAAUCUCAUGGGCCAUCCCAUGGGCCUUGAUCCAGACCCCCUGCACCAUGGGUACCCCCUUCCCCAGGGCACAGCUCCCAGGGCAUCUCUGGCUGGGGAGAGGCGCUGGAGGGAGGUAGCUCAGCUCUGUUACCUCCAAUGCUGCUCUGUGCCUGCUGAGAACCUGGCCCUGUGUUUCCAUCCUGACUCCUCCCUUCCUGCCUUUCCAGGCCACACAUUCCCAAAAUAUCCCCUGUCCCUCAUUCAGGGAGGCAGAAGGUAGCGCUGACCCUGAUCUGUUUUGCAGACAGUGGCUGCUCCUCUCCGCCCCCUCAGAAAUUCUUUAUAAACAGCUGUUAAGUGAAGAAAUCACACCAAGAUGGUCGAUUUUUAUUUUAUUUUAUUUUGUAGCAUGGCUACAAGAGGAGAUUUGGGCUUUCCUCUGCUGGAUUUACAUCCAGUAGAUGAAGAAUGGCAAAGGACUGUCCCUUGUGAGAGCCUCUCCUUUGCAGGAGCCAGCAAUGCACAAAGAGCUGCUGUAAAUCAACCUGGCAGCAGCAAUAACAUCUGACAGUGCCAAAAGAGCCCCUCGUUGGCUUUGCUGUCUGGAAAUGCCUGGCCGAUGGCAGGCACACACGUGGAAAGUGGAGGAGCGAACUGCUGCACCAGGAAGAGUUAGUCAUUUGUCCAGGAUAAUUUUUCCAGGUGGAUUUUAUGAGAAGCACAAGGCAGGAGGAGGUACAGCGCAACAGAGUCAGCCACAUGGUGUGCAGUUCUGCCCCAUCCUUUAAGCAUGAUCCCCUCAAGUGUGAGAGCACCAGAAGAUGACGAAGGGAGUCAAAAGUCCUCCUUGGGGGUUUGACAUCUGUGCUCAGGCUGUUGAAGCCCACAUUCAGCCACCUGCAAGGGAUGCAGAGCCAGCUCGGAUUUUGGCUGGGCUGGCUGAGACCCAGAGCUGCUGACCAAAGUGGAGCUGUACCAGACAGACAGGAACGUGGCUGAAGUCUGUGAUUCCGUGGUAUCCUGUUCACCCUCAUACAAACCAGGCCACUUCUGCAGGAGUUCAGCACUUCUCUAGAAGAGAACCUGGGAGGUAAUCCAGUGACGACCAGUCCCUGAGAUGAAUGCAGCAGUGAUAAGCUCUGCUUAUCAGGGCUUAUCAGGGCAAAUACAGGCAGCAUUGUAUACAAUGAGAAAAGUCAUGGAAAUAGAGAAUACAGCAGGUAGAAGAUUUUGACUUUCAGUAAAGCACUGGCUCUGAAAUUAUUUCAGGAUCCUGUGGUUACUUCUGGAGAUAAACUUAUGCACUGAGACACAGUGAAAUGACUGCAUGCAAAGGUGGUGAGGCUCUGUAGGUUGCUGGUUUGGCCCUCUGAGACUGCAGGAGUCUCAGGGAGCAGGGAGCACAGCUCAAAUGCCUCAUGCAGGAUGUGGAAAAUGAUAGAGCAUUUGUAGAUACAUAACCCUAGGAUUAUGGCAUAAUGCCAGUCCAGGGGAAACCCAGAUGGCCAGUGAGAUGCCCAAAAGCAUUUCCAGUGAAAAGGCAAAGCUGGAAGAGCCAGGGAAGAGGAGCUGAUGGCAUGAUGUUACAACCAUAGUCGCUCCCAGGGCUGCACAUGGAGGCUGAGCUCAGGUCUCCAUGUGCCUGAAGGUUUGUUUUGGGGACAGAAAUAACAGGAUAAAUUGUUUUGAGGAUGAACAGGUGUGCUUGAGAGUUGCUUUAUUUUUUUUUUUUU